GUUUUUUUAUAAGACUUAUUUGAUGUAAUGUCAUUUUAUUAACAUACAUAACCUUAACGAUGGAUGUCUUGGUUCCUACAGCGAUGAAGGCCGCAAUUAAAUGCGAUAUUCUGUAUGUAUUAUAUACAACAUUUGAAUAAAUGCUGAAUGUAGAAUUAAAAU